rnacentral:snRNA from 1 species
CGUGGCCUAUCGAUCCUUU